CAAAUCCGGAUAAUCAAGGCUGAGGUGUGAUGACGAGGCACUACGGUGCUGAAGUAACAAAUGCCCUGCUUCCAGGAAAAGCCUCUAAGCAUCAGGUAACAUCAAAUCGUACCCCAAACCGACACAGGUGGUCAGGUAGAGAAUACCAAGGCGCUUGAGAGAACUCGGGUGAAGGAACUAGGCAAAAUGGUGCCGUAACUUCGGGAGAAGGCACGCUGGUGUGUAGGUGAAGUCCCUGCGGGUGGAGCUGAGACCAGUCGAAGAUACCAGCUGGCUGCAACUGUUUAUUAAAAACACAGCACUGUGCAAACACGAAAGUGGACGUAUACGGUGUGACGCCUGCCCGGUGCCGGAAGGUUAAUUGAUGGGGUUAUCCGUAAGGAGAAGCUCUUGAUCGAAGCCCCGGUAAACGGCGGCCGUAACUAUAACGGUCCUAAGGUAGCGAAAUUCCUUGUCGGGUAAGUUCCGACCUGCACGAAUGGCGUAAUGAUGGCCAGGCUGUCUCCACCCGAGACUCAGUGAAAUUGAACUCGCUGUGAAGAUGCAGUGUACCCGCGGCAAGACGGAAAGACCCCGUGAACCUUUACUAUAGCUUGACACUGAACAUUGAGCCUUGAUGUGUAGGAUAGGUGGGAGGCUUUGAAGCGUGGACGCCAGUCUGCGUGGAGCCAACCUUGAAAUACCACCCUUUAAUGUUUGAUGUUCUAACGUUGGCCCCUGACCGGGGUUGCGGACAGUGUCUGGUGGGUAGUUUGACUGGGGCGGUCUCCUCCCAAAGCGUAACGGAGGAGCACGAAGGUUAGCUAAUCCUGGUCGGACAUCAGGAGGUUAGUGCAAUGGCAUAAGCUAGCUUGACUGCGAGCGUGACGGCGCGAGCAGGUGCGAAAGCAGGUCAUAGUGAUCCGGUGGUUCUGAAUGGAAGGGCCAUCGCUCAACGGAUAAAAGGUACUCCGGGGAUAACAGGCUGAUACCGCCCAAGAGUUCAUAUCGACGGCGGUGUUUGGCACCUCGAUGUCGGCUCAUCACAUCCUGGGGCUGAAGUAGGUCCCAAGGGUAUGGCUGUUCGCCAUUUAAAGUGGUACGCGAGCUGGGUUUAGAACGUCGUGAGACAGUUCGGUCCCUAUCUGCCGUGGGCGCUGGAGAAUUGAGGGGGGCUGCUCCUAGUACGAGAGGACCGGAGUGGACGCAUCACUGGUGUUCGGGUUGUCAUGCCAAUGGCACUGCCCGGUAGCUAAAUGCGGAAGAGAUAAGUGCUGAAAGCAUCUAAGCACGAAACUUGCCCCGAGAUGAGUUCUCCCUGAGACUAUAAGUCUCCUGAAGGAACGUUAAAGACGAUGACGUUGAUAGGCCGGGUGUGUAAGCGCAGCGAUGCGUUGAGCUAACCGGUACUAAUGAACCGUGAGGCUUAACC
rnacentral:rRNA from 1 species